rnacentral:rRNA from 1 species
GGGGAAUCUUGCGCAAUGGGCGAAAGCCUGACGCAGCGACGCCGCGUGAGUGAUGAAGGCCUUCGGGUUGUAAAGCUCUGUGGAGGGGGACGAAUAAGGGUUGGCUAAUAUCCAGCUCGAUGACGGUACCCCUUUAGCAAGCACCGGCUAACUCUGUGCCAGCAGCCGCGGUAAGACAGAGGGUGCAAACGUUGUUCGGAAUUACUGGGCGUAAAGCGCGUGUAGGCUGCUCGGAAAGUCGGAUGUGAAAGCCCUGGGCUCAACCUAGGAAGUGCAUUCGAAACUUCCGAGCUGGAGUGCUGGAGAGGAAGGCGGAAUUCUCGGUGUAGAGGUGAAAUUCGUAGAUAUCGAGAGGAACACCGGUGGCGAAGGCGGCCUUCUGGACAGCGACUGACGCUGAGACGCGAAAGCGUGGGGAGCAAAC